AUUGAACGCUGGCGGCAUGCUUUACACAUGCAAGUCGAACGGCAGCACGGGAGCUUGCUCCUGGUGGCGAGUGGCGAACGGGUGAGUAAUGCAGCGGAACGUACCCAGUAAUGGGGGAUAACACAUCGAAAGAUGUGCUAAUACCGCAUACGCCCUGAGGGGGAAAGCGGGGGAUCGUAAGACCUCGCGUUAUUGGAGCG
rnacentral:rRNA from 1 species